rnacentral:rRNA from 1 species
CAAUAGCGUAUAUUAAAGUUGUUGCAGUUAAAAAGACUCGUAGUUGAACUUCUGGUCAAGCGUGACCUUGGCUUCGGUCGAGGCAGGCAUGGCCAUCCGUCAGAAAACCAGGGAGGGUCUUAAGUGAUCGCUCUGGGGAUCUGACACUUUACUUUGAAAAACUAGAGUGUUCAUGGCAGGCUAACGCCCUGAAUACACAAGCAUGGAAUAAUAGAAUAGGACUGGGUCCAUUUUGUUGGUUAUUGGACGCAGUGAUGAUUAAUAGGGACAGUUGGGGGCGAUUAGUAUUUAAUUGUUCAGAGGUGGAAAUUACUUGGUAUUUAUUAAAGUAACUGACUUAUGCGAAAGCAUUUGCCAAGGAUGUUUUCAUUGAUCAAGAACGAAAG